UACGUAGGGGGCAAGCGUUGUCCGGAUUUAUUGGGCGUAAAGAGCUCGUAGGCGGCUUGUCGCGUCGGCUGUGAAAACCUGGGGCUCAACCCCGGGCCUGCAGCCGAUACGGGCAAGCUAGAAUUCGGUAGGGGAGACUGGAAUUCCCAGUGUAGCGGUGAAAUGCGUAGAUAUUGGGAGGAACACCAGUGGCGAAGGCGGCUCACUGGACCGGAACUGACGCUGAGGCGCGAAAGCGUGGGGAGCAAACGGG
rnacentral:rRNA from 1 species